GAGUUUGAUCCUGGUUCAGGAUGAACGCUAGCGGCAGGCUUAACACAUGCAAGUCGAGGGGCAGCAUGUCCAGCAAUGGAUGAUGGCGACCGGCGGAAGGGUGCGUAACGCGUGAGCAACAUGCCCUAUACAGGGAGAUACACCAGGGAAACUUGGUCUAAUAUCCCAUAGCAUUCAUUGAAGGCAUCUUUAAUGAAUUAAAGCUUCGGUGGUAUAGGAUUGGCUCGCGUGACAUUAGCCAGAUGGUGAGGUAACGGCUCACCAUAGCAAUGAUGUCUAGGGGUUUUGAGAGGAAGGCCCCCCACACUGGGACUGAGACACGGCCCAGACUCCUACGGGAGGCAGCAGUGAGGAAUAUUGGACAAUGGAUGGAAAUCUGAUCCAGCCAUGCCGCDUGCAGGAAGACGGCCUUAUGGGUUGUAAACUGCUUUUAUACGGGAGCAAUAAGGGUUACGAGUAAUCCGAGAGAGU
rnacentral:rRNA from 1 species